UACAGGUAAUUACAACAGGGAAGUCCUGG
rnacentral:piRNA from 1 species